rnacentral:rRNA from 1 species
UGGGGAAUUUUGGGCAAUGGGGGCAACCCUGAUCCAGCCAUGCCGCGUGAGUGAAGAAGGCCUUCGGGUUGUAAAGCUCUUUCGGCCGGGAAGAAAUCGCAUGGGUUAAUACCCUGUGUGGAUGACGGUACCGGAAUAAGAAGCACCGGCUAACUACGUGCCAGCAGCCGCGGUAAUACGUAGGGUGCGAGCGUUAAUCGGAAUUACUGGGCGUAAAGCGUGCGCAGGCGGUGAUGUAAGACAGAUGUGAAAUCCCCGGGCUCAACCUGGGAACUGCGUUUGUGACUGCAUCACUCGAGUACGGCAGAGGGAGGUGGAAUUCCGCGUGUAGCAGUGAAAUGCGUAGAUAUGCGGAGGAACACCGAUGGCGAAGGCAGCCUCCUGGGCCAGUACUGACGCUCAUGCACGAAAGCGUGGGGAGCAAACA